GCGUCAUUUCAACCAUCAAGCCCCCGGCUUGUGUUGGGGACCUGCGGCUGCCGCAGGCCCUGAAAUCAGUGGCGGGCUCGCUAGUCACUCCGAGCGUAGUAAUACAUCUCGCUUAGGACGUGCUGCGGGUUCCGGCCGUAAAAACACCUUAUUUACCCAAGGUUGACCUCGGAUCAGGUAGGGAUACCCGCUGAACUUAA
rnacentral:misc_RNA from 1 species